GCCUGGCUGGCUCAGUCAGAAGAGUGUGUGACUGUCAAUCUCAGGGUCAUGGGUUCAAGUCCCACUCUGGGCG